rnacentral:rRNA from 1 species
AGCAGCCGCGGUAAUUCCAGCUCCAGUAGCGUAUAUUAAAGUUGCUGCAGUUAAAAAGCUCGUAGUUGAAUUUCGGGGUCAUCAUGUCGGUCGUGCCUCGGUACGUACUGGCAUUGUUGGUUUCUACCUUCUGACGAACCAUGAUGUCAUUUAUUUGGUGUCGUGGGAAAUCAGGACUGUUACUUUAGAAAAAUUGAGUGUUUAAAGCAGGCUCACGCUUGAAUACAUUAGCAUGGAAUAAUGAAAUAGGACGUUCGAUUCUAUUUUGUUGGUUUCUAGGAUCGACGUAAUGAUUAAUAGGGAUAGUUGGGGGCAUUAGUAUUCAAUUGU